AAUUGAUUUGGGGAAGGUACUACAUGGUUCCAGAUUUCUUUUCUUUGAGACUAGGGGAUUGAAGAGAGAAGAAAGAGAGGAAUUUAGACCUUGGUUUUGAAAGAGAGUACAAACUAAGCUUGUUUCUGGUUUGGGUAUUAAGAAGCUCGGGUACUAAGUCAAGGGUGAGGGUUUCAUGUUUCUACUUUGUGGUAUCCUCUAUCUAUUUUCUUUAUUUUGUUAAUCUCCUUAUUGAUUUUUCCUUUGGAGUAUUGGGUUUUGGAUCUUGAUUAUAUGUUAUGUUAGUCAUCAACUCAGUAUGUGUUUCAAAUUGUGAAUUUGUUGGUUUUAUUGUGCUGCAAUUGUUAUGGAUCAUGAUUUGAGAAUUACCUUAAAAUUAAUUGUGUUUUCGAAUCCUCUAGUCAACAAGAGAGUCGUGUUGGCAAUGUGCACAUUACAUAUGACUGACCAUGAUUAGUGGGCACGGUCAUUGAGCUGUGGUAGCUCGAGGGCUUUGGAAGCCUGAUUUUUUUCAUGUUUGAGUUUGCUCUGGCAACUGGUUGUGUUGGAGUUUAGAUUUUUCUGUGAUUAAUACCAAUGGGUUGAUCAUGACUUGGGUGAUAAAUUUUGGUGUUGUUUACUUUUCAUUUGGAGUACUGAUUGUUAGUCUUUACAUUUUCAUUUUUUUUUUUUAGCUACUCACUGAGCUUUAGUUGCUCAUGCCUCCUUUAUUUUAUUUUUUUUGUUUAUUUGCAGAUACUUAGGUAGCAGGGUUGUGAAAAGAGUACCCAAGUGUUAAGAGUUCUUUCUUUGUAAAUUUCCUUCUUUAGUUUUGAUGUUUUGGUGCCACUGGGCAUUAUCCCUUGCUGUAAGGGUUUUGAUCAUGUUUUCUAUAUAGUUCAACUCUUGUAUAUAGUAAUAUGUUUCUUUGGAGUGGUUUUUAUAAAAUGCCACGUUUAUACUUAACUAAGAAGUGCUUAUUCUUUUACCUUCUUUUACUGUCUCUUGAGUUGUAAAUGGUUGUCAAAGACUCAAUGAUCUCUACGAUUUUGGAAUCGGGGCGUGACAACUUCCCACUUCCUAUUAAAAAAAAUAAUUCAAUUUUCACACACAUAGUGCGUGGAGUCAUCUAAUUUUUAUUAAAUAAAUUUCUUUGCUAAAGUUCAUAAAAAAAAAAAAAUUACAGCUAGAAAAACUACAAAACAUGUUUGGAGCUCCAUGAGCAAGUAUCUAGAAGAAAACAACUGGUGUGCUGGCAUUGACUCGUAGGUUGCAUGACUUGCAUCCUUGCACUUCUCUAGAAGAUAAAGUAGUUCAUUGGUUUUUUUUUUUAAUGUAAAUUCUCAUUGAUUGAUUGAAUCACAAGGACACAGUAGAUAUGGUAUAAGACAGCUUGCUCAGGUUAUAAUUAAUAAGUGUACAUAAUUCCAAGAUGUACAGGAUUUGAUCAAAUCAAUAUCACAGGAUUCCGACUUGAUUUGGGGGGUGAGACAAUUUGUUAGAGUUGAUAGCUAUGGUGGGCAUCUCCAUGUGAGAAUUCUGACUUGAUCCAAUCUCGCAAACAAAAGUUGAUGGCUAUGGUGGGCAUACCCAUACUAGACACAAACCUCCAAAAGCAGUUUCUUACCGGAUUAACCAAGACGCCAAUCUCUUCAUUUUCAUCACUGACGGCGAAGCCGAUAUCUGCUUCAGUGUCGCCUGUGAUUUGUUAUCCACAAUCGGAAGCAGGAGACAGCGAAAUGGACCAAGACGCCAAGAGAAGCGUUCCCGAGACUGUGCCGACGAUGCCAAAUUUCGACGAGCAAAAAACCUCACCGGCUAUCACCACCUCCACUAGGUUUGGCUUAAUCUGGAGAUGGCUGCUGAUGUUAUAGAGCCGCGGUUUAUUGGUUUGAGAGGUUAACUCAUUCCUUGGCUAAUUUGUUUAUUCUCUUAACGAUCUUUGAUGAUUCGUUGUUUUUUGGGUUGGAUGAUUCGAUUUUAAUCGAGAUUAGUUGUGGUUUUUGUUGGUGUGAUUUAGGACUAGACUGGUUUAAUGACGGUGGCUAUUGAGGUUUAUAUAUCAAGCGGUUUUGUAAAUCAGUCAAUUGUUUUGCAUAUAUGAAAUUAUUGUUUUAUUUAAAACCUUUACUACAUCUCAGAACAACCUUGGUGCGAUGUGAAUUGUGAUGCAUCAUGGUUUUGUUGAUGUAUUAUUAGGAUUUGGCCAAUGAAGGCUGCAGUCCGUACAUAUAGCUUUAAGGUAAACUGGUAGAAAUAUAGUGAAGUCAGGAUUUGCCAUAAGGUUUUAGGGGAUUUGUUACAACAACAUUUAUUAGAAGAAGCAUGUAUUACUGAGGGUUUUAUCUAAAGAGAAGUGCAUAACAAAGUUCUAUCUUGAUUCUAUUGAAAUAUAUGCAGCAUGUAUACUGUGUGCGUGUAUGUGUGUGAUUACUAAAGAAUAUGAGAAAUUAUUGUAUAACUGUGAAUUCGAGUUAUUUUAGAAAGUUCGCAGUGUAAAAUACUAUCAAGUUUACAUCACUCAUGUAUGUUGUGUUAGUUAUAGAAAAUUAAAGGGCACUAUUAUUUAGGAUCUUAACAUGGUUAUCUACUUAUCUGGGCCUGAAAGCUUUAAGGUACAGAAUGUCAUGUAGUUAUGUAUACUGAGUUAGUGUUUAUAGAUUACUGAAGUAGAUGGGAAUGCUAAUGUUGGUUCAUACACUGAAUUAUAUGGAAUUAAUGGUAUUUAGCUUCUAGCAAACUGCAAGAAGAAUCAUGGCAAAAUAUACUAUUGAGUUUAUAGUGUGUGGCUGUGUGCCAACCGUUCCUUUAUAAUCCAAUAUAUUCAUAGUUAUGGUUUUGGUGCACUCAACGGCUAUUAUUAUCCCUGGUCAACAUGUUUUGGGCUUUAAGGCUGAAAAUUUUUCUUUCUUUAUUUAAUGAGGCUUCCUUUUGGUGUUUGGAUAAGUGGCAAUACAGGUAACUAUUUGAAAUAAUCUGGAGUUGUAUUUUUUUUUUCCUUGUUUCAAUUGAUUAGUUGAGGAUAAUGGAAUUCCCUUAUUUUCAUUGAACUCAGGGAUGUAUUUCAGUGCUCAGUGCUAAUAAGCUUUUAGCAGGUUCGUUAUGCAUGGCACAAAAACUUGGUAAAGAAAUGUUUGGAGGACGAGAUGCGAGCUACAGUAUCAAGAAUGCUUCAUCAGGAAGUAGAUGACAUAUGUCAACAAAGAGGAACAACUGGUUUGUUUGCGGAUCUCAUGGAAGAUUUUGUUAAUGCAUCAGAUUUUAUGGAUUAUCUUGAGGCAACUUGGUAUCCUAGAAUUUGUUUAGGAUGCAGGUCAUUGGCCAAUCAUACAGUAGCUUAUGAAAUCAUUUAGUUUUUGUUUAUAUCUUUUUAUGAUCGAAGUUAAAGUUAUUCAUUAUGUUAAAACAGUCCAUAAAUUUACGACUUUAUGUUAAAUUAGCUCAUGUCUUCUGUUUGUAUAUCCUGUACAAAAUUGUGAAAAUGAGAAAAUCAUCAGUGACUUUGACAGUUACAUGUUUUGAGUA